GUGGGAUUAGCUCAAUCGGUAGAGCGUCUAUAUGUGGCAUAGAAGGCACAUGGUUCGAAUCCAUGAUCUCAUC
rfam:Wallemia ichthyophaga EXF-994 unplaced genomic scaffold scaffold27, whole genome shotgun sequence.